GACGAACGCUGGCGGCGUGCCUAAUACAUGCAAGUCGAACGCUUUUUCUUUCACCGGAGCUUGCUCCACCGAAAGAAAAAGAGUGGCGAACGGGUGAGUAACACGUGGGUAACCUGCCCAUCAGAAGGGGAUAACACUUGGAAACAGGUGCUAAUACCGUAUAACACUAUUUUCCGCAUGGAAGAAAGUUGAAAGGCGCUUUUGCGUCACUGAUGGAUGGACCUGCGGUGCAUUAGCUAGUUGGUGAGGUAACGGCUCACCAAGGCAACGAUGCAUAGCCGACCUGAGAGGGUGAUCGGCCACACUGGGACUUGGCCACGGCCCAGACUCCUACGGGAGGUAGCAGUAGGGAAUCUUCGGCAAUGGACGAAAGUCUGACCGAGCAACGCCGCGUGAGUGAAGAAGGUUUUCGGAUCGUAAAACUCUGUUGUUAGAGAAGAACAAGGAUGAGAGUAAAACGUUCAUCCCUUGACGGUAUCUAACCAGAAAGCCACGGCUAACUACGUGCCAGCCGCCGCGGUAA
rnacentral:rRNA from 1 species